GCCUAACACAUGCAAGUCGAACGGUAACAGGAAGCAGCUUGCUGCUUCGCUGACGAGUGGCGGACGGGUGAGUAAUGUCUGGGAAACUGCCUGAUGGAGGGGGAUAACUACUGGAAACGGUAGCUAAUACCGCAUAACGUCGCAAGACCAAAGAGGGGGACCUUCGGGCCUCUUGCCAUCGGAUGUGCCCAGAUGGGAUUAGCUAGUAGGUGGGGUAACGGCUCACCUAGGCGACGAUCCCUAGCUGGUCUGAGAGGAUGACCAGCCACACUGGAACUGAGACACGGUCCAGACUCCUACGGGAGGCAGCAGUGGGGAAUAUUGCACAAUGGGCGCAAGCCUGAUGCAGCCAUGCCGCGUGUAUGAAGAAGGCCUUCGGGUUGUAAAGUACUUUCAGCGGGGAGGAAGGCGAUAAGGUUAAUAACCUUGUCGAUUGACGUUACCCGCAGAAGAAGCACCGGCUAACUCCGUGCCAGCAGCCGCGGUAAUACGGAGGGUGCAAGCGUUAAUCGGAAUUACUGGGCGUAAAGCGCACGCAGGCGGUCUGUCAAGUCGGAUGUGAAAUCCCCGGGCUCAACCUGGGAACUGCAUUCGAAACUGGCAGGCUAGAGUCUUGUAGAGGGGGGUAGAAUUCCAGGUGUAGCGUGAAAAUGCGUAGAGAUCUGGAGGAAUACCGGUGGCGAAGGCGGCCCCCUGGACAAAGACUGACGCUCAGGUGCGAAAGCGUGGGGAGCAAACAGGAUUAGAUACCCUGGUAGUCCACGCCGUAAACGAUGUCGACUUGGAGGUUGUGCCCUUGAGGCGUGGCUUCCGGAGCUAACGCGUUAAGUCGACCGCCUGGGGAGUACGGCCGCAAGGUUAAAACUCAAAUGAAUUGACGGGGGCCCGCACAAGCGGUGGAGCAUGUGGUUUAAUUCGAUGCAACGCGAAGAACCUUACCUACUCUUGACAUCCAGAGAACUUAGCAGAGAUGCUUUGGUGCCUUCGGGAACUCUGAGACAGGUGCUGCAUGGCUGUCGUCAGCUCGUGUUGUGAAAUGUUGGGUUAAGUCCCGCAACGAGCGCAACCCUUAUCCUUUGUUGCCAGCGGUCCGGCCGGGAACUCAAAGGAGACUGCCAGUGAUAAACUGGAGGAAGGCGGGGAUGACGUCAAGUCAUCAUGGCCCUUACGAGUAGGGCUACACACGUGCUACAAUGGCGCAUACAAAGAGAAGCGACCUCGCGAGAGCAAGCGGACCUCAUAAAGUGCGUCGUAGUCCGGAUUGGAGUCUGCAACUCGACUCCAUGAAGUCGGAAUCGCUAGUAAUCGUGGAUCAGAAUGCCACGGUGAAUACGUUCCCGGGCCUUGUACACACCGCCCGUCACACCAUGGGAGUGGGUUGCAAAAGAAGUAGGUAGCUUAACCUUCGGGAGGGCGCUUACCACUUUGUGAUUCAUGACUGGGGUGAAGU
rnacentral:rRNA from 1 species